rnacentral:lncRNA from 1 species
AUGCACACAGCACACACACAUACAUGCACAAUACACUCACAUGCACAUAACACACAUGCACAAUGCACUCACAUGCACACACACAUGCACACACAUGCACUUGCGCACAUGCACAUGCACACAUACACUCAAAUGCACACACAGACACAUAUACAAUGCACAUAAUGCACAUAUAUACAAUGCACAUGCACACACAUGCACGCGUACACUCAAUGCACACCCACACAUGCACACACAUGCACAUGUGCACACAUACACACACAAUGCACACACAUAUACAAUGCGCAUGCACACAGCACACGCACACACAUACACUCACAUGCACACCCACACAUGCACACACAUGCAUGUGCACCCAUACACAUGCACACAUACACACAAUGCACACACAUAUACAAUGUGCAUGCACACAGCACACGCACACACAUGCACACAUACACUCACAUGCACACAUGCACAGACACAUAUACAAUGCACAUGCACACAGCACACACACACACUCACAUGCACACCCACACAUGCAUGUGCACCCAUGCACAUGCACACAUACACACAAUGCACACACAUAUACAAUGCACAUGCACACAGCACAUGCACACACAUGCACACAUACACUCACAUGCACACACGCACAGACACACAUACAAUGCACACACAGAGCACACGCACACACACACACACCUCCACACUCUCCUCGGACACCAGGCUUUCAGACAACACGCGUUUCUCUGGCAGAGGCAGGCAGCAGCCCUCGGCUCCUGCUUGACAACAGUCUGGGGUCCGAGACAACGAAAGGGGAUUCGGGAGGGCCGAUGGCGACCACAAAGCGCUUUCUGGGCAGUGUCAUGGUCUCUCCAGACCAGGCCGGAGUUUCUCGCCAAACCCUUGGGCCACGAGGCGACAGGCCGGGGCUCGGAGCCCGGGGCUUCUAGGGGAGUGAACGCAAAGAUCACUUGGAUGCAGGAGAGAAAGGAGGGACCGUCCCGGGGCCUAACUGAGCCUUGCUGGGGGGCCUGAGGCUCUCGGGCCGCCACCCUUCAUGGUAGAAGGUACGUGUUGCACGUGCCAUGAGAAUCUCGCCAAGGAGGUCUGCCCAGCCUCCAGCAGCCCCUUCUAUGGCUGUGGAGAGCGUCGUUCACCCGGAGGCCUCGGCACCAUCUUGGGGACUUGCUUUGCCCAGAUUGGCUUGGCCCUCCGUGGGCCAGUUUUCCUGGUUCUGCUCCCUUCGCCUGCUCCUCUCCCAUCCGUUCCUGGGAGUCCUUCCAGGCUGCUCUGUUCCUCGUUCCUCAUGGC